CCCCUCUCAGGAUUGUUCCUGGAGUGUUUCCAGUACUCCACCAGUCUCAGCUAUGGAAGGGAGAGUCAAGCAGAGGCCUAUCCAUUCCAUUCCCAGCUUGGGUAGUGGCUAGUGAGUGGAAGGCAAUCUGUUACAACU